rnacentral:tRNA from 1 species
UUAUUAAUAGUUAAUUAGAUAACACUAAAAUGCAAUUUUAGAAUUGAAUAAUACCAUCUUAAUAAA